UUUCCACAGCCCAAAAGGCCCAAACCAUAGGGAGAAAUUCACUCUCCUCCUCGACUCCGGCGACGGCGAUAAGCGGCUCCUUCUCCUCCUCCGCGACUCCGGCGACGGCGACGGCUGCGCCUCCUCCUCGUCCUCCUUCCACUCCCCAUCGCUAGCCUUGCGCUAGACAAAGCGCGGAAGGUGGUGGCUGCCUCGCUGCAAAUGAGCCACCGCAGGCGACGUAACGCCGCUGGCCCGCCGCCUCCCGAAGGCAUCGGCGGCUCGUCCACCGCAGAGGCCUCUUCGACGGGGGAGGAGAGGCCGGAUCUGCCGUGGGCGUGGGCGCUGGGAUCGGAGCGAAGGGUGCUCGCGCUGGCGCUGGCCUUCCGCGCGGCGAACGCGCUGCUGGUGCGCACCUACUUCAACCCCGACGAGCACUGGCAGUGCCUCGAGGUCGCCCACCGCAUCGUCUUCGGGUAUGGCCACCUUACUUGGGAGUGGAAGCGUGGUCUUCGAAGUUACCUCCACCCCUUCAUCUUUGCUGCUCUCUACAAGAUUCUUUCGCUGCUCCACUUGGAUUCCCCAUGGUUCAUGGCGAUGGCUCCACGUCUUCUACAAUCAGUCUUUGCAUCUUUUGGGGAUCUCUACUUAUAUAAACUUUCAAAACUCAUUUUCAAUAAUCACGUUGCCCAGUGGGCACUAUUUUCACAGCUUGUUAACUGGUUCAUGUUCUUCUGUAUUACACGGACUCUCUCAAACAGCAUGGAGACAGUUUUGACUGUUACUGGACUUUACUAUUGGUUUGUUGCAAUAGAGUCUGUAAAGGGAAAUUCGGUUGUUUCAAAGCAGCAGGCUGCCAGCAAGCAAAGCCCUCCAUCAAGAAAAAUGGCUCUACUCAUAGCAGCCUUAGCUUGUGCUAUUCGGCCAACAAGUGCCAUAACAUGGCUAUAUGUUGGUCUUUUGGAUUUUAUUCAGAUGAAAUCAAAAUCCCGGUUUAUUUUUCUCGAGGUCGUUCCGCUCGGGGUCUUUGUCCUUGCCGUGACAACGUUUCUUGAUUGUUGGAUGUAUGGUUCCCGGAUCAUAGUGCCACUUAAUUUUUUGAAAUUUAACCUCUUCUCUUCAGGAGGAGACUACUAUGGAACACAUGUGUUCCACUGGUACUUCAGCCAAGGUUUUCCAUCGAUGAUUUGGACUUUCUUACCGUUUUCCAUUUCUGGAAUUUUGAAGUCUCGAGAAUGGAGGCUUGCAGGUCUUAUUGUCUGGGUAUUAGUGGUUUAUAGCAUACUUGGACAUAAAGAAUUCAGGUUUGUUCUCCCGGUGCUUCCUUUUAUGUUCAUGUUCUCAGGACAUAACUUAGCUGCAAUGGCACAACUCAAGGGAAAAGGUCACAAUGAGAAAGGACGACUUUCGAGGUUGAAGCUCUCUGUCAUUCUGCUCAUCCUAACAAAUGUUCCAAUGGCUUUAUAUAUGUCCUUAUACCAUCAAAGAGGAACUGAAGAUGCUAUGCUUUAUCUAUCACGAGAAGCCCAUGAUGGAAGAGUAAAGAGUGUCCUCUUCCUUAUGCCUUGCCAUUCGACACCUUAUUACUCUACAUUACAUUACAACCUACCUAUGCGCUUUUUGGACUGUACUCCUAGUGAAAACAAAGGGACCUUGGAUGAGUCAGACCGUUUCCUCAUGAACCCAGCAGAUUUUGUGGGCGAGGUUUUUGGAAAUUUAUCUUCGUUCAGUCAUAUUGUAUUAUUUGAAUCUGAAGAAAGGCAUGUCAAGUUGCUUCUGCGCAAUUCAUUUCAAGAGGUUAGGAGAUUUUUUCACUCCCACUUCAAGGUUGAUAGAGACCUUCAAUCGUCAGUUGUUGUUUAUUCACAGAAGAGUGUAUUGUGAUCACUGUGGCAGAAAAGGCUCGUUAGUGUACUAUCUUGUCUAACAUUUCUAAUCAUGUUUCACCCUACUUUAAUUUAUCAUUCGAGAAAUGAUCUAUAGUUUGGGCCUUUAUUUUGAUAUAUUGAUUUUUUCCCAUCCUUUGUGAUGUAAUUCUAUUUCUAUGUAUUAGCGCCAACUUCCAUGUUUUCACAAAAAAAAAAUCAUUUCCAUAACUAGAGGUGUGAAGAAGUUUUAGAGGUUUAACAAAACGAAGACAAGAGACGAGCAGAGCUCCUCUUCUAGAGAAACUGGCGCCAUCCCAACCAGCUCUUCAGGAACAAGUUCCAUUCCAUCCAUCUCAACCAAGUUUCAAAAGUGAGCAAGUAACAAAGAGGCAAAAGGUGGUUGUUUUCCAGGAACUCUUCAUAGUCUCCAACAGUCCAACUCUCCAUCUUGACCUCCCAGCAUCUUUCCAAUCUUCCUCUGCAUCACUGAAGUCAUCCACUUCCAGUAUUGAAGUGCCAACUAUGUCUUUCUCUGAAGAUCUUCCAUGGUGAAAGUAGGACAAACCAUCAGGCAAAACAAAAAGGGGACAGAUCAUUCCAUGGCAAAUCUUUGUGCGGACAUACUGAACCUCAUAAAAUCAUGUCAAAUGUAAGUUAAAAUCAUGUCAAAUUGUCAUCAAGCUUCCACUUUGUCCAGUGAUGGAAGGGUCAUACUGUCAUGAGUUUUCAAGCAAACAUACAGUUUCACCGUUAGCACUCUCAAUCAAUUGUUCACGCCAGGUGCUUCUUAUUGCUUUUAACCUUUCAGCUACUUCUGUCGUCAAUGUCCGUUCUCCCCCCGUUGUACUCAAGCAACAUUUUGCCAGUUGAGCAACAUCUUGGAACAGCUCUGUUCCAACACCUAAUAUGUUCUUGUCCAAGAUAGAUUGAAGCCUGUUCUCUUUCAGUGCCAGAAGGAAAAGGAUGAUGCAAGGCUUUUGUUUUCAUCAGCACUGUCAGAAUAAAUUGCCGUCUUUCCUGUAAUUAGCUCUAGAAUCACAACUCCAAAACUAUAAACAUCACUUUUCUCUGUUAGCUGGCGCUCUUGUAACUUUUUAAGUAUUCUGGGUCUAGGUAGCCUGGAGUCCCCUGUACCAUUUUCAUAAAUUGUAUUUCAUCUUUUGGAAGCAUCCUUGAUGCUCCAAAAUCAGUCACUUUUGCUAUGUACUUGUCACCUAGGAGAAUAUUUGGAGAUUUGACAUCGCCAUGAA